UGCGUAGGUGGUUCGUUAAGUCUGUCGUGAAAUCCCCGGGCUCAACCUGGGAAUGGCGAUGGAUACUGGCGAGCUAGAGUGAGGUAGAGGAGAGUGGAAUUCCCGGUGUAGCAGUGAAAUGCGUAGAGAUCGGGAGGAACAUCAGUUGCGAAGGCGGCUCUCUGGACCAUCACUGACACUGAGGCACGAAAGCGUGGGGAGCAAACAGGAUUAGAUACCCUGGUAGUCCACGCCCUAAACGAUGCGAACUGGACGUUGGGCUCAAUUAGGAGCUCAGUGUCGAAGCUAACGCGUUAAGUUCGCCGCCUGGGGAGUACGGUCGCAAGACUGAA
rnacentral:rRNA from 1 species